UACACCACUGACGGUUGAAACACCGUUUAUCCGCCAUUAUUGGUUUGGGGAGUGAAAAUUAAUCCGACACAGGGCGGGCGUGGCCAAGGUCGGUUGACGCGUCCGCAGGAGAUAGAA
rnacentral:ncRNA from 1 species